UUUACUUUACUUCAUGGGUUUCCGUUAUGGAUGCGUAUGCAUAUAGUAUUAAGGUACUGGACUAUGGUGUCUAAAAUGAACUAAGGUGAAACAUUGAUAUAUAUAAGGUUCACAUAAGAUGCCACUGGAUAGCCAACCGUUAUGUAGAAGAGGAACAACAUUAUUAUCUGUAACUGAGGAACAAAUCAAGGUUGGGUUGUGCCACGGCGGCUAGCCUUCCCCACCCACCAUAAAAAAAGGGGAAAGGAGAAACAAAAAGAAUGGAGAAAGGGGGGAGGACAGUACUUUAAUUAUUUAAAUCCCAUGAACCAAUUUCUAUGAUAAGCAUUUUAAACAGAAACAGCUUUUCGAGAGGCAGAGGGGUUUGUUUUUUGUUGUGAUGGUCUGUAAGCCUAUUUGGAGGAAAUAUUAAUUACAGUGGAGGGUAGUUAGAGCAUUGUAACUGCAAGGAAAAGUGCUAGAGAAGACCCAAAGAAUUAAGUAACAUACAUGUUAUGAAAAC